AACCCAUGGUGAGGACACCUUCUCAAAAGGUCCUUGUAUCUUUCCCACGCAUCGUAGAGUGUUUUUAAAAUCCAUCUGCACAAAAGAAGAGAUAUCAUUACGUAAUUU
rnacentral:snoRNA from 1 species